rnacentral:rRNA from 1 species
UACAGAGGGUGCAAGCGUUAAUCGGAAUUACUGGGCGUAAAGCGCACGUAGGCGGUUUUUUAAGUCAGAUGUGAAAGCCCCCGGGCUCAACCUGGGAAUUGCAUUUGAAAACUGGGGAACUAGAGUGUGUGAGAGGGGGGUAGAAUUCCAAGUGUAGCGGUGAAAUGCGUAGAGAUUUGGAGGAAUACCAGUGGCGAAAGGCGGCCCCCUGGCACAACACUGACGCUCAGGUGCGAAAGCGUGGGGAGCAAACAGG